rnacentral:misc_RNA from 1 species
UCCGAGUUGACCCCGGCAGUCUCCUGCGAGUCCCCGCCAUUACGCGCUGGCAACACAGGACAAGGGUUGCGCUCGUUGCGGGACUUAACCCAACAUCUCACGACACGAGCUGACGACAGCCAUGCACCACCUGUAUACCGACCACAAGGGGGGCCGUAUCUCUACGGCUUUCCGGUAUAUGUCAAACCCAGGUAAGGUUCUUCGCGUUGGAGGAAUUCCA